GAAAUAUGAUAUUCAAGAGAAAGCUUCUAACUUAUCUCUUUAGCUGUGAGACUCCGUUAAUAUUUCU
rnacentral:tRNA from 1 species